rnacentral:lncRNA from 1 species
UCAAUCUUAAUUAAAUCCUAGUUAAAAUCCUAUUGAACUUCAAUCAAACUUUAGGCCAAAAAUUAACUAAAUCUUAAAUCCUAAAUAAAUCCUAAAUAAAUCCUAAAUAAAUCAUAAUCCCUAAAUCAAUUCCUAACCAAAUCUUAAAUUGAAAAUCAAAUCCUAAACUCUAAACCAAACCCUAAUCAAAUCUUAAAUCUUAAACCAAAUCCUAACCAAAUCCUAAUCAAAUAUUAAAUCCUAAACCAAAUUCUAAUCAAAUCCUAAUCAAAUUCUAAAUCCUAAAUAAAAUUCUAAUCAAAUCUUGAACCCUAAAUCAAAUCCUAAUCAAAUUCUAAACCUUAAAUCAAGCCAUAAGCAAUCCCAAGUAAUUUCUACAACAAAUAUAAACCUCAAUAAUUAAUAAAUUAACCAUUCAUUUUAAUUCAAAAUUUGAACACUUCUUAAUAAUUAAGUUGACAGCAAGUACAAAAAAAUUGAAAAAAUAUCAGAAUUACCAAAUAGACGAUAAUCUUAAAAAUAUGCUUAGGUAUUGGCUUGCCUCCUUUUCUAACCUUGAUGCCAAUCUCCCAAAGCCAAUAUCUCUUUUUUUCAUUGUUUAAUUGAUUUUAAAAUUUUCAUAUAUAUAAGAAAACAAGUCUACUAUCUUCACAUAUAAACUUCACUCCAAUCCAACUAGUAAAUUGCAA